rnacentral:lncRNA from 1 species
GCUCAAGACCGGAGGCAAAAGAAGCGCAAUUUCAACCUCUUUCACCUCCUCAAAUCCGCACCAACCCCCGCUGACUCAAUCAUCAUCACCGGAGGAAAAAUCCCCGAAACCCUAAUUUUGCGCCAUUCACAGAGCUUCAAAAUUCGUCGCAUACGUUGCAAAUCUUCUGAAAUUGAAGAAAGCACUGACGUUGGUCCGGUAGUCGGAGCAAGUGAAAUCUCCGCGCCAGGAGGAGACGGUUUGUACGACUACAUCGAGCCCGAAGGUUGCAAGACAUGCACCCUCCCUUGAACAAUUUAAUCCCAGUAGUUAGAGAGUUAUUUUGGUAGCGUACUCGUCCUUUGGAGUACGAUAGACUGCACGAAUUCUUUUAAAUUAAUUAUAUUACUAUUAUUGCAUUAUAUUUUCUGUUGUUGUUAUAAACACCUUAAUGAGCCUUAGAGUAUAACAAACUUAGGAUAAAAUUUGAGAAACACCUAAACAAAUGGUUAAUUAUUUAACAUGCUAUUGAUUUAAUAUGGAUAUUAUUACUGCAUAUGAAAACAUGCUUAUGGAAC